rnacentral:rRNA from 1 species
UUAAAUUGAAGAGUUUGAUCAUGGCUCAGAUUGAACGCUGGCGGCAGGCCUAACACAUGCAAGUCGAACGGUAACAGGAAGCGCUUGCUGCUUCGCUGACGAGUGGCGGACGGGUGAGU